UCCAGACUCCUACGGGAGGCAGCAGUGAGGAAUAUUGGUCAAUGGGCGAGAGCCUGAACCAGCCAAGUCGCGUGAGGGAGUACUGCCCUAUGGGUUGUAAACCUCUUUUGUCGGGGAGCAAAAGCCGGACGUGUCCGGCUGUGAGAGUACCCGGAGAAAAAGCAUCGGCUAACUCCGUGCCAGCAGCCGCGGUAAUACGGAGGAUGCGAGCGUUAUCCGGAUUUAUUGGGUUUAAAGGGUGCGUAGGCGGAUCUUAAAUCAGGUGGUAAAUUGGGGGGCCCCACCCCCUCCCCGCCAUUGAAACUGGCGAUCUUGAGUGGAAGAGAAGUAUGCGGAAUGCGUGGUGUAGCGGUGAAAUGCAUAGAUAUCACGCAGAACCCCGAUUGCGAAGGCAGCAUGCCGGCUUCCGACUGACGCUGAAGCACGAAAGCGUGGGGAUCGAACAGGAUUAGAUACCCUCGUAC
rnacentral:rRNA from 1 species